UACGAAGGGGGCUAGCGUUGCUCGGAAUCACUGGGCGUAAAGCGCACGUAGGCGGAUUGCUAAGUCAGGGGUGAAAUCCUGGAGCUCAACUCCAGAACUGCCUUUGAUACUGGCGACCUUGAGUCCGGGAGAGGUGAGUGGAACUGCGAGUGUAGAGGUGAAAUUCGUAGAUAUCGGGAGGAACACCAGUGGCGAAGGCGACUUCUUGGCCUGUUCUUGACGCUGAGGCGCGAAAGCGUGGGGAGCAAACAGG
rnacentral:rRNA from 1 species